GUUGCCCAGGGCCUUUCACCCUUGUACCCCAGGACCACUGCAUACAGACAGAUAGUGUGUCGUGUGGUGUAUACUGCAUCCUGUUCGCAGAGAUGAUCCUGGGGGGAGCACAGGGGUACCUGGAGUGCCUCCCCAUUGCCCUGGAGCGAGAGAGGCUGGCAACUUUGCUAUUACAGGAGUUGGGGAUACAAAUAGAAGAUGCUGAGACGGAGGCCAGAAAGGACAGUGACAUAGAUGUCAAACAACAGUGACAGUGACCUGGACAGCAUUGAUGGAGGACAAGAGGAAGAGGAGGCAGAGGACAGAGGAGGACAAGAGGAAGAGGAGGCAGAGAGAGGAGGACAGGAGGCAGAGGACGGAGGAGGACAAGAGGAAGAGGAGGCAGAGAGAGGAGGACAGGAGGCAGAGGACAAGAGGAAGAGGAGGCAGAGAGAGGAGGACAAGAGGCAGAGGACGGA